rnacentral:rRNA from 1 species
GACGAACGCUGGCGGCAGGCCUAACACAUGCAAGUCGAACGAGCGGCGGACGGGGGAGUAAUGUAUGGGGACUGCACGAUAGAGGGGGAUAACUACGGGAAACGGUGGAUAAACCAGCAUACUGUCUGAUCACCCAAAUGGGAUUAGCGAGUAGGUAAGGUAAUGGCUUACCUAGGGGACGAUCCCUAGCUGGUCUGAGAGGAUGAUCAGCCACACUGGGACUGAGACACGGCCCAGACUCCUACGGAGGCAGCAGUGGGGAAUAUUGCACAAUGGGCGCAAGCCUGAUGCAGCCAUGCCGCGUGUAUGAAGAAGGCCCUAGGGUUGUAAAGUACUUUCAGCCGGGAGGCGUUACCGACAGAAGAAGCACCGGCUAACUCCGUGCCAGCAGCCGCGGUAAUUC